rnacentral:rRNA from 1 species
GGGACACGUGGUAUCCUGUCUGAAUAUGGGGGGACCAUCCUCCAAGGCUAAAUACUCCUGACUGACCGAUAGUGAACCAGUACCGUGAGGGAAAGGCGAAAAGAACCCCGGCGAGGGGAGUGAAAAAGAACCUGAAACCGUGUACGUACAAGCAGUGGGAGCACGCUUAGGCGUGUGACUGCGUACCUUUUGUAUAAUGGGUCAGCGACUUAUAUUCUGUAGCAAGGUUAACCGAAUAGGGGAGCCGAAGGGAAACCGAGUCUUAACUGGGCGUUAAGUUGCAGGGUAUAGACCCGAAACCCGGUGAUCUAGCCAUGGGCAGGUUGAAGGUUGGGUAACACUAACUGGAGGACCGAACCGACUAAUGUUGAAAAAUUAGCGGAUGACUUGUGGCUGGGGGUGAAAGGCCAAUCAAACCGGGAGAUAGCUGGUUCUCCCCGAAAGCUAUUUAGGUAGCGCCUCGUGAAUUCAUCUCCGGGGGUAGAGCACUGUUUCGGCAAGGGGGUCAUCCCGACUUACCAACCCGAUGCAAACUGCGAAUACCGGAGAAUGUUAUCACGGGAGACACACGGCGGGUGCUAACGUCCGUCGUGAAGAGGGAAACAACCCAGACCGCCAGCUAAGGUCCCAAAGUCAUGGUUAAGUGGGAAACGAUGUGGGAAGGCCCAGACAGCCAGGAUGUUGGCUUAGAAGCAGCCAUCAUUUAAAGAAAGCGUAAUAGCUCACUGGUCGAGUCGGCCUGCGCGGAAGAUGUAACGGGGCUAAACCAUGCACCGAAGCUGCGGCAGCGACGCUUAUGCGUUGUUGGGUAGGGGAGCGUUCUGUAAGCCUGUGAAGGUGUGCUGUGAGGCAUGCUGGAGGUAUCAGAAGUGCGAAUGCUGACAUAAGUAACGAUAAAGCGGGUGAAAAGCCCGCUCGCCGGAAGACCAAGGGUUCCUGUCCAACGUUAAUCGGGGCAGGGUGAGUCGACCCCUAAGGCGAGGCCGAAAGGCGUAGUCGAUGGGAAACAGGUUAAUAUUCCUGUACUUGGUGUUACUGCGAAGGGGGGACGGAGAAGGCUAUGUUGGCCGGGCGACGGUUGUCCCGGUUUAAGCGUGUAGGCUGGUUUUCCAGGCAAAUCCGGAAAAUCAAGGCUGAGGCGUGAUGACGAGGCACUACGGUGCUGAAGCAACAAAUGCCCUGCUUCCAGGAAAAGCCUCUAAGCAUCAGGUAACAUCAAAUCGUACCCCAAACCGACACAGGUGGUCAGGUAGAGAAUACCAAGGCGCUUGAGAGAACUCGGGUGAAGGAACUAGGCAAAAUGGUGCCGUAACUUCGGGAGAAGGCACGCUGAUAUGUAGGUGAAGUCCCUCGCGGAUGGAGCUGAAAUCAGUCGAAGAUACCAGCUGGCUGCAACUGUUUAUUAAAAACACAGCACUGUGCAAACACGAAAGUGGACGUAUACGGUGUGACGCCUGCCCGGUGCCGGAAGGUUAAUUGAUGGGGUCAGCGCAAGCGAAGCUCUUGAUCGAAGCCCCGGUAAACGGCGGCCGUAACUAUAACGGUCCUAAGGUAGCGAAAUUCCUUGUCGGGUAAGUUCCGACCUGCACGAAUGGCGUAAUGAUGGCCAGGCUGUCUCCACCCGAGACUCAGUGAAAUUGAACUCGCUGUGAAGAUGCAGUGUACCCGCGGCAAGACGGAAAGACCCCGUGAACCUUUACUAUAGCUUGACACUGAACAUUGAGCCUUGAUGUGUAGGAUAGGUGGGAGGCUUAGAAGUGUGGACGCCAGUCUGCAUGGAGCCGACCUUGAAAUACCACCCUUUAAUGUUUGAUGUUCUAACGUUGACCCGUAAUCCGGGUUGCGGACAGUGUCUGGUGGGUAGUUUGACUGGGGCGGUCUCCUCCUAAAGAGUAACGGAGGAGCACGAAGGUUGGCUAAUCCUGGUCGGACAUCAGGAGGUUAGUGCAAUGGCAUAAGCCAGCUUGACUGCGAGCGUGACGGCGCGAGCAGGUGCGAAAGCAGGUCAUAGUGAUCCGGUGGUUCUGAAUGGAAGGGCCAUCGCUCAACGGAUAAAAGGUACUCCGGGGAUAACAGGCUGAUACCGCCCAAGAGUUCAUAUCGACGGCGGUGUUUGGCACCUCGAUGUCGGCUCAUCACAUCCUGGGGCUGAAGUAGGUCCCAAGGGUAUGGCUGUUCGCCAUUUAAAGUGGUACGCGAGCUGGGUUUAGAACGUCGUGAGACAGUUCGGUCCCUAUCUGCCGUGGGCGCUGGAGAACUGAGGGGGGCUGCUCCUAGUACGAGAGGACCGGAGUGGACGCAUCACUGGUGUUCGGGUUGUCAUGCCAAUGGCACUGCCCGGUAGCUAAAUGCGGAAGAGAUAAGUGCUGAAAGCAUCUAAGCACGAAACUU